UAAUUACUAGGUUACUUGUGAGUGUAAUCAAAAGAAAAUUAUUUAUUGAUAAUCUGUAUGCUCUUUAAAAAGAAAAAUUAAAGUAAAAAGAAAAUUUUGAAAUUUCUCAUGCAAAGAAAAUAAAUGGAGCUCAAACUUUUUAGAGAAAUUAAACGAGUAAAAACGAGAACACGAAUGAUUUUAGUUUAGUAAACGAAUUAUAAUAAUUCAGGUCAAAUCUCAAAUUUAAAUUGAAUCAAAUACAAUCUAUCCAAGGUCUUAAAACUUGUAAUUCAAUAGUAAAAAUUGUAACCGAAGAUAUUAAUAAUAAUUUUUAUCUACAUAAUAUAAUAUUGUGUGUUACAAACUCUCUCUCACUUGAAUGUGUAUGAGAUAAUAGUCCAAAUAUUUGUCAUUCUGGCCAUUGUGAUAUCUCAGAAGAAUAAAAAAGAGCACACAUAUAAAGACGAUUAUAUAGGAGAACAUUAUCCAAUAUGGAGAUGUAAGCGACGGGGACAAGGCAUGUGAUAUGGAUCGGAUACGGCCACACACCGACACACGUAGUCGUACAGCAUGAGCAUGCGGCGACCCUCAGUGGCACUAACCGACGCCCCCUUCCACCUCCUUGUCAUUUUUUCCCUUCUUGUCAAUCUCUGUUUAUUGUGAUUUGAUUGUCCACACCAAACUCAUAUUUACCUUUUUUUACUCUGAAUUUAAUUUAAUUUAAUUGUUGGAGUGAUACUUUGGGUCCCAUGUAUUUUCGCUGAUGUCCG
rnacentral:lncRNA from 1 species